rnacentral:rRNA from 1 species
AUACGUAGGUGACAAGCGUUAUCCGGAUUUACUGGGCGUAAAGGGCGUGUAGGCGGUCUUGCAAGUCAGAAGUGAAAUUCCUGAGCUCAACUCGGGCGCUGCUUCUGAAACUGCAGGACUUGAGUGCUGGAGGGGAUAGCGGAAUUCCUAGUGGAGCGGUAAAAUGCGCAGAUAUUAGGAAGAACACCGGUGGCGAAGGCGGCUAUCUGGACAGUAACUGACGCUGAGGCGCGAAAGCGUGGGGAGCAAACAGGAUUAGAUACCCUGGUAGUCCACGCCGUAAACGAUGGGCGCUCGUCGUCGGCGACAGACAGUCGGCGGCCAAGCGAAAGCGAUAAGCGCCCCACCUGGGGAGUACGGUCGCAAGGCUGAAACUCAAAUGAAUUGACGGGG